rnacentral:rRNA from 1 species
UGGUGGAGUGAUUUGUCUGGUUAAUUCCGAUAACGAACGAGACCUUAACCUGCUAAAUAGCCAGGCCGGCUUUUGCUGGUCGCCGGCUUCUUAGAGGGACUGUAAGCGUCUAGCUUACGGAAGUUUGAGGCAAUAACA